rnacentral:rRNA from 1 species
UACAGAGGGUGCGAGCGUUGUCCGGAAUCACUGGGCGUAAAGGGCGCGUAGGCGGUCUGGUAAGCGUGUGGUGAAAGCCCGGGGCUCAACCCCGGGUCGGCCGUGCGAACUGCUGGACUGGAGCAGAUCAGAGGCAGGCGGAAUUCCGGGUGUAGCGGUGGAAUGCGUAGAGAUCCGGAAGAACACCGGUGGCGAAGGCGGCCUGCUGGGAUCUUGCUGACGCUGAGGCGCGACAGUGUGGGGAGCAAACAGG